AAUAGAUACCCCUGGUAGUCCUAGCCGUAAACGAUACUCGCUAGGUGUCGGCCACGGUGCGACCGUUGUCGGUGCCGUAGGGAAGCCGUGAAGCGAGCCACCUGGGAAGUACGGCCGCAAGGCUGAAACUUAAAGGAAUUGGCGGGGGAGCACCACAACGGGUGGAGCUUGCGGUUUAAUUGGAUUCAACGCCGGAAAUCUUACCGGGACCGACAGCAAUAUGAAGGCCAGGCUGAAGACUUUGCCGGAUUAGCUGAGAGGUGGUGCAUGGCCGUCGUCAGUUCGUACUGUGAAGCAUCCUGUUAAGUCAGGCAACGAGCGAGACCCACGCCCACAGUUGCCAGCGUACUCUCUGGAGUGACGGGUACACUGUGGGGACCGCCGCUGCUAUAGCGGAGGAAGGAAUGGGCAACGGUAGGUCAGUAUGCCCCGAAUAUCCCGGGCUACACGCGAGCUACAAUGGUUGGUACAAUGGGUAUCUACCCCGAAAGGGGACGGAAGUCUCCUAAACCAAUCUUAGUUCGGAUUGAGGGCUGCAACUCG
rnacentral:rRNA from 1 species